GGUCAAGUGAAGAAGCGCAUACGGUGGAUGCCUUGGCAGUCAGAGGCGAUGAAAGACGUGGUAGCCUGCGAAAAGCUUCGGGGAGUCGGCAAACAGACUGUGAUCCGGAGAUGUCUGAAUGGGGGAACCCAGCCAUCAUAAGAUGGUUAUCUUGUACUGAAUACAUAGGUGCAAGAGGCGAACCAGGGGAACUGAAACAUCUAAGUACCCUGAGGAAAAGAAAUCAACCGAGAUUCCCUUAGUAGUGGCGAGCGAACGGGGACCAGCCCUUAAGUUGUAUUGAGAUUAGCGGAACGUUCUGGAAAGGACGGCCAUAGUGGGUGAUAGCCCUGUACGCGAAAAUCCCUUUGCAAUGAAAUCGAGUAGGACGGGGCACGAGAAACCUUGUCUGAAUAUGGGGGGACCAUCCUCCAAGGCUAAAUACUACUGACUGACCGAUAGUGAACCAGUACCGUGAGGGAAAGGCGAAAAGAACCGCGGAGAGCGGAGUGAAAUAGAUCCUGAAACCGUAUGCGUACAAGCAGUGGGAGCCCACUUUGUUGGGUGACUGCGUACCUUUUGUAUAAUGGGUCAGCGACUUAUUUUCAGUGGCGAGCUUAACCGAAUAGGGGAGGCGUAGCGAAAGCGAGUCUUAAUAGGGCGUCUAGUCGCUGGGAAUAGACCCGAAACCGGGCGAUCUAUCCAUGGGCAGGUUGAAGGUUGGGUAACACUAACUGGAGGACCGAACCGACUACCGUUGAAAAGUUAGCGGAUGACCUGUGGAUCGGAGUGAAAGGCUAAUCAAGCUCGGAGAUAGCUGGUUCUCCUCGAAAGCUAUUUAGGUAGCGCCUCAUGUAUCACUGUAGGGGGUAGAGCACUGUUUCGGCUAGGGGGUCAUCCCGACUUACCAAACCGAUGCAAACUCCGAAUACCUACAAGUGCCGAGCAUGGGAGACACACGGCGGGUGCUAACGUCCGUCGUGAAAAGGGAAACAACCCAGACCGUCAGCUAAGGUCCCAAAGUCAUGGUUAAGUGGGAAACGAUGUGGGAAGGCUUAGACAGCUAGGAGGUUGGCUUAGAAGCAGCCACCCUUUAAAGAAAGCGUAAUAGCUCACUAGUCGAGUCGGCCUGCGCGGAAGAUGUAACGGGGCUCAAACCAUGCACCGAAGCUACGGGUAUCAUCUUAGGAUGAUGCGGUAGAGGAGCGUUCUGUAAGCCUGUGAAGGUGAGUUGAGAAGCUUGCUGGAGGUAUCAGAAGUGCGAAUGCUGACAUGAGUAACGACAAUGGGUGUGAAAAACACCCACGCCGAAAGACCAAGGUUUCCUGCGCAACGUUAAUCGACGCAGGGUUAGUCGGUCCCUAAGGCGAGGCUGAAAAGCGUAGUCGAUGGAAAACAGGUUAAUAUUCCUGUACUUCUGGUUAUUGCGAUGGAGGGACGGAGAAGGCUAGGCCAGCCUGGCGUUGGUUGUCCAGGUUUAAGGUGGUAGGCUGAGAUCUUAGGUAAAUCCGGGAUCUUAAGGCCGAGAGCUGAUGACGAGUGUUCUUUUAGAACACGAAGUGGUUGAUGCCAUGCUUCCAAGAAAAGCUUCUAAGCUUCAGGUAACCAGGAACCGUACCCCAAACCGACACAGGUGGUUGGGUAGAGAAUACCAAGGCGCUUGAGAGAACUCGGGUGAAGGAACUAGGCAAAAUGGCACCGUAACUUCGGGAGAAGGUGCGCCGGUGGAGGUGAAGCAUUUACUGCGUAAGCCCCUGCCGGUCGAAGAUACCAGGCCGCUGCGACUGUUUAUUAAAAACACAGCACUCUGCAAACACGAAAGUGGACGUAUAGGGUGUGACGCCUGCCCGGUGCCGGAAGGUUAAUUGAUGGGGUUAGCGCAAGCGAAGCUCUUGAUCGAAGCCCCGGUAAACGGCGGCCGUAACUAUAACGGUCCUAAGGUAGCGAAAUUCCUUGUCGGGUAAGUUCCGACCUGCACGAAUGGCGUAACGAUGGCGGCGCUGUCUCCACCCGAGACUCAGUGAAAUUGAAAUCGCUGUGAAGAUGCAGUGUAUCCGCGGCUAGACGGAAAGACCCCGUGAACCUUUACUAUAGCUUUGCACUGGACUUUGAAUUUGCUUGUGUAGGAUAGGUGGGAGGCUUUGAAGCGUGGACGCCAGUCUGCGUGGAGCCAACCUUGAAAUACCACCCUGGCAACUUUGAGGUUCUAACUCAGGUCCGUUAUCCGGAUCGAGGACAGUGUAUGGUGGGUAGUUUGACUGGGGCGGUCUCCUCCUAAAGAGUAACGGAGGAGUACGAAGGUGCGCUCAGACCGGUCGGAAAUCGGUCGUAGAGUAUAAAGGCAAAAGCGCGCUUGACUGCGAGACAGACACGUCGAGCAGGUACGAAAGUAGGUCUUAGUGAUCCGGUGGUUCUGUAUGGAAGGGCCAUCGCUCAACGGAUAAAAGGUACUCCGGGGAUAACAGGCUGAUACCGCCCAAGAGUUCAUAUCGACGGCGGUGUUUGGCACCUCGAUGUCGGCUCAUCACAUCCUGGGGCUGAAGCCGGUCCCAAGGGUAUGGCUGUUCGCCAUUUAAAGUGGUACGCGAGCUGGGUUUAGAACGUCGUGAGACAGUUCGGUCCCUAUCUGCCGUGGACGUUUGAGAUUUGAGAGGGGCUGCUCCUAGUACGAGAGGACCGGAGUGGACGAACCUCUGGUGUUCCGGUUGUCACGCCAGUGGCAUUGCCGGGUAGCUAUGUUCGGAAAAGAUAACCGCUGAAAGCAUCUAAGCGGGAAACUUGCCUCAAGAUGAGAUCUCACUGGAACCUUGAGUUCCCUGAAGGGCCGUCGAAGACUACGACGUUGAUAGGUUGGGUGUGUAAGCGCUGUGAGGCGUUGAGCUAACCAAUACUAAUUGCCCGUGAGGCUUGACCAU
rnacentral:rRNA from 1 species